rnacentral:lncRNA from 1 species
ACCAUUACACCUCAAGGAAUUAAGAUAACUAAACACAGGAAGUCCAAUAAUCAUGUCAUUUUUUAAUUUCUGUUGGACAAAGAUGUAUCCUGAGUAAAAACAACUUUAUUGUAUCAUCAUAGGCAAAUACCACAUUGGCAAAAGCUGGUAUACGAAGAAGCCGUCUUGUGUUCAAAUCCGUGUGAGCCUAAUGCCAAAACCACACUUUGUUGUUUAAGAGAAUUUGCUCCAGGACUUUGAUGUUCAAUAAUACACCUUUGAGGAAGAUAUUUCUAACAUGGUAUAGGCUUACAAGCCUUGAGACUCUCUUUUCAAGAUUCAAAAGCUUUCCACCAACUUGCACUCUUUUGGCAAGACAACUUUUUGGGCUAGUCUUGUCUUUUUCCUCUUUUGUCUAAGUUUGAAAAGUGCCUUACUCCUUUUUGGUAACUUGCUUUUUGGAGGGUUUUUUUUCUUUUUCUACUUUGGUGUUGUCUU